rnacentral:rRNA from 1 species
CGCGUAGGCGGGAUGGCAAGUCGGUCGUGAAAUCCUUCGGCUCAACCGAAGAACGUCGGCCGAUACUGCCGUUCUUGAGGGAUGCAGAGGAGACUGGAAUUCCCGGUGUAGCGGUGAAAUGUGUAGAGAUCGGGAGGAACACCGGUGGCGAAGGCGGGUCUCUGGGCAUCUCCUGACGCUGAGGCGCGAAAGCGUGGGGAGCAAACGGGAUUAGAUACCCCGGUGGUCCACGCCAUAAACGAUGACGACUAGGUGUGGGGUGGUUCAGUCCACUCCGUGCCGCAGCUAACGCAUUAAGUCGUCCGCCUGGGGAGUACGGCCGCAAGGUUGAA